UCUGGGAAGCCCCCUCUGACUCCCAGUUUCAGUCACUCUGCUCGGGCAACCCCCGUGGCUGCUCGAUCCGGGUCGCGGCUGGUCACCCCUCAAGAUUGAGGGCGGGGCCCGCACCCUGGGCAGCCAGGCUCCGUCUUCCCCACAGAGGUCUCCCGCGGGGGAGUGAAUGAGUGACACUGGAGCCAGGCCGGAAAGAACACCCAGGUUCCCGGAGCCCCCGUGCCCCUGUCGGCUGCCUGAACGGUUGUCUGAGCUGGAAGAUCAUGGAGUAGUAGUUUGGAAGAUGGACUGGAGAAGCCAAGAGGCAGGGAGACCUGACGGGAGCCUAUUGCAGGGUUCAGGAAUGGAAGGGGCCAAGAGACAGGGAGAAGAUUGGGGACCUUGAUAACCUCACAGAGCUGAUGUCCCUGGAGGAAGAGGAUGAGAGAAGAAUAUCUGUGACCAGCCAGAAGAACCAAGAGGGGAAAUAUCCCUUCCCCACAGUUGGCGAGCCAGCCAGGAGGCCUUACUAGCUGGACACGGUUCACACUGGCCUUGUGGCAAAUGAAGAGAUCUUGGGGCAUCUCAUACAAACUGAAGAAGGUGAAGAAUAAACGAGACUACUGAUGCCGGGGAUGAUGCCAUUAGCAGAGGGCCCAGCGCAUGGCGCUUCAGAACGGUGCAUUGAUGAUGGUGAAGAAGAUAGAGGGAGGCAGUGGGUCCUACAGUAGGAGGAGGAUGAUGUCUCAAUCAGAAGCAGAUGGGUUCAAAUCCCAGCUCACUCCCUGACUAGCUGGGUCACUUUGGACAACCAACUUUACUUCUUUGAACCUCAGUGCCCUCAUCUGCAAAAAUGGAGGUGCAAGGUGGUUGGGAGGACUCACUGAAUGAGUGGCAUGAAAGUCCCCAGGAUGGUGACAGAUCCUCAACAGAUGUUUGCUCUUGGUCCUUUCACGUUUGGCAUGAGCUCCUGUGUGCCAAUGUGAGAA